AUUCAUAUAGUAUAAAAAUUAUUUUUAACUUCCAAUUAAAAGAUCUAUCUAAUAGUAUGAAUA
rnacentral:tRNA from 1 species